rnacentral:rRNA from 1 species
GAGUUUGAUCCUGGCUCAGAGCGAACGCUGGCGGCAGGCUUAACACAUGCAAGUCGAACGCAUCCUUCGGGGUGAGUGGCAGACGGGUGAGUAACACGUGGGAACGUACCCUUCGAUCUGGGAUAACUUCGGGAAACUGGAGCUAAUACCGGAUACGCCCUUUUGGGGAAAGGUUUACUGUCGAAGGAUCGGCCCGCGUCUGAUUAGCUAGUUGGUGGGGUAACGGCCUACCAAGGCGACGAUCAGUAGCUGGUCUGAGGGGAUGAUCAGCCACACUGGGACUGAGACACGGCCCAGACUCCUACGGGAGGCAGCAGUGGGGAAUAUUGGACAAUGGGCGCAAGCCUGAUCCAGCCAUGCCGCGUGAGUGAUGAAGGCCUUAGGGUUGUAAAGCUCUUUUGUCCGGGACGAUAAUGACGGUACCGGAAGAAUAAGCCCGGCUAACUUCGUGCCAGCCGCCGCCGU